rnacentral:rRNA from 1 species
GAUGAACGCUGGCGGCGUGCCUAAUACAUGCAAGUCGAGCGAACAGACGAGGAGCUUGCUCCUCGGACGUUAGCCGCGGACGUGUGAGGAACACGUGGAUAACCUACCUAUAAAACUGGGAUAACUUCGGGAAACCGGAGCUAAUACCUGAUAAUAUAUUUCACCGCAGGGUUCAAUAGUGAAAGACGGUUUUGCUUGCACUUAUAGAUGGUUCCCGGCCGCAUGAGCUAGUUGGUAAGGUAACGGGUUACCAAGUCGGCGAUGCGUAGCCCACCGGAGAGGGGGAUCGCCGACACUGGAACUGAGCCACGGUCAAGACUCCUGAGGGAGGCAGCAGACGGGAAUCUUACGCAAUGGGCGAAAGCAUGACGGAGCAACGCCGAGCGAGUGAUGAAGGCGUUCGGAUCGUAAAACUCUGUUAUUAGGGAAGAACAAAUGUGUAAGUAACUAUGCACGUACUGACGGUACCUAAACAGAAAGCCCCGGCUAACUACGUG